UGGGGAAUCUUGGACAAUGGGCGCAAGCCUGAUCCAGCCAUGCCGCGUGAGUGAAGAAGGCCUUAGGGUUGUAAAACUCUUUCGCCGGAGAAGAUAAUGACGGUAUCCGGAGAAGAAGCCCCGGCUAACUUCGUGCCAGCAGCCGCGGUAAUACGAAGGGGGCUAGCGUUGUUCGGAAUUACUGGGCGUAAAGCGCACGUAGGCGGGUCUGUAAGUAGAGGGUGAAAUCCCAGGGCUCAACCCUGGAACUGCCUUCUAGACUGCAGGCCUGGAGGUCAGGAGAGGCGAGCGGAAUUCCGAGUGUAGAGGUGAAAUUCGUAGAUAUUCGGAGGAACACCAGUGGCGAAGGCGGCUCGCUGGCUCGAUACUGACACUGAGGUGCGAAAGCGUGGGGAGCAAACAGGAUUAGAUACCCGGGUAGUCCCUGAGCGGGCUGGCAAGGCGCAU
rnacentral:rRNA from 1 species